UACGGAGGGUGCAAGCGUUAUCCGGAUUCACUGGGUUUAAAGGGUGCGUAGGCGGGUUGGUAAGUCCGUGGUGAAAUCCCCAGCUUAACUUGGGAACUGCCGUGGAUACUAUCAAUCUUGAAUAUCGUGGAGGUAAGCGGAAUAUGUCAUGUAGCGGUGAAAUGCUUAGAUAUGACAUAGAACACCAAUUGCGUAGGCAGCUUACUACACGAUCAUUGACGCUGAGGCACGAAAGCGUGGGGAGCAAACAGG
rnacentral:rRNA from 1 species